rnacentral:rRNA from 1 species
GCCAGACUCCUACGGGAGGCAGCAGUGGGGAAUAUUGCACAAUGGGGGAAACCCUGAUGCAGCGACGCCGCGUGAGCGAUGAAGCAUCUCGGUAUGUAAAGCUCUAUCAGCAGGGAAGAAAGUGACAGUACCUGACUAAGAAGCCCCGGCUAACUACGUGCCAGCAGCCGCGGUAAUACGUAGGGGGCAAGCGUUAUCCGGAUUUACUGGGUGUAAAGGGAGCGUAGACGGCAGUGCAAGUCUGGAGUGAAAGGCGGGGGCUCAACCCCCGGACUGCUCUGGAAACUGUACGGCUGGAGUGCAGGAGAGGUAAGUGGAAUUCCUAGUGUAGCGGUGAAAUGCGUAGAUAUUAGGAGGAACACCAGUGGCGAAGGCGGAUUGCUGGACAGUAACUGACGCUGAGGCGCGAAAGCGUGGGGAGCAAACAGGAUUAGAUACCCCGGUA